rnacentral:tRNA from 1 species
GGUGAUGUGGCUCAAGCGGUAGCCCGCUCGUCUGGCACACGGGGCUCUGGGUUCGAUCCUCAGCACCAUAU